rnacentral:rRNA from 1 species
AGGACGAACGCUGGCGGCACGCUUAACACAUGCAAGUCGAACGAGAUCCAUCCACUCGCAAGAGUGGUGAAGAUCUAGUGGCGAACGGGUGAGUAACACGUGAGAAACCUGCCCCGAAGACCGGGAUAACUCACCGAAAGGUGAGCUAAUACCGGAUACCCUCACGACGCUUCAUGGCGAUGUGAGGAAAUGGAUUCCGCUUCGGGAGGGUCUCGCGGCCUAUCAGCUUGUUGGUGAGGUAACGGCUCACCAAGGCGACGACGGGUAGCUGUUCUGAGAGGAAGAUCAGCCACACUGGGACUGAGACACGGCCCAGACUCCUACGGGAGGCAGCAGUGGGAAUCUUGCGCAAUGGGCGAAAGCCUGACGCAGCGAUGCCGCGUGCGGGAAGACGGCCUUCGGUUGUAAACCGCUUUCAGCGAGGCGAAAUUGACGUACUGCAGAAGAGCGUCCGCCAACGUACGUGACCAGCAGCCGGACGUAA